CCACCACUUAUUAGAUUGUUGGCCAGGAUUGGCACUGAAUCUUCACACUCACCUUCCUACACCCUCAUGCCCCAAACUUCCCACAGCUAAAUCUAGACUUUUUGGCAUUGAGUACAGGUCUGCAAUUACCCUUAUGGCUUCAAAGCUCAGCUUCACAGAGAAUUGACACAGUGACAUGAAAAUGAUUUAAUUGGCUCAUAAAACCUGGACCUGCCUACGAUGUAAACUGAGGCAACUUUAGGGAAGCCAGAGGAAGAUAUCUUGCUGUGAAAUGUGGUCUCCUGUCUGGGGAUAAGUAGAAGAUGCUGUAGAAGCAGAAGGUUCUGGCAUUGUCUGGAAAUGGUUCCUUCUGCCAUAUCAAGUGUGUGCAUAAAACAGAGCCCAGAAGAGCAGAGCUGCUAAAGAACUGUGUCUGCAUGCUUUCAUUGACAUUUGGUGACCUUUCUUUGUGCACCCAGCCUAACCUCUUAGGUUAUUUCC
rnacentral:lncRNA from 1 species